AAACUUAUGAAAAGCUCUCUUCUGCUAGGGUUUGCCGUCGGCGGCGGCUCUGGGUUUUCUGCUGGUAGAUUAGGGUCUCCCUCUUCCUCUGGUUAUUUAGAUGAUGGAGGUUGUGGGUUUCUUUCCCGUCGUCUUCUUCGUGCACCAAUCGGACUGUGGUUCGAUUGUCUUUUUCUUCUCCUCAUCCUUACCCACUUCGGCGUUGUUGGUGAAGGUGGGAGCAGUGAUGGCGGCACAGAGAACUAUACGGGUGAGAAGGAAAUGCUGGGAAAGUGUGAACAGUUUUUCUUAGUGUUGAUGAAGGUUCCACGAGUAGAACCCAAGUUGCGAGUAUUUGCUUUCAAAAUUACCUUUUCUAGUCAGGUGAAAGACUUAAGAUCAAAUUUGAUUACCAUCAAUAGUGCUACUAAAGAGGUUAAAGAAUCUGCGAAGUUGCGACAGGUAAUGCAGACAAUUCUUACUUUGGGAAAUGCCUUAAAUCAAGGCACUGCUCGAGGGUCAGCCAUAGGAUUCAAAUUGGACAGCCUUCUUAAAUUGUCUGAUACUCAUGCAAGAAACAACAAAAUGACUUUAAUGCACUAUUUGUGUAAGCUCAUUGCUGAGAAAAUGCCCGAGCUGCUGGAUUUUGAUAGGGAUCUUAUCCAUUUGGAAGCUGCCUCUAAGGUGCUGAAAAAUUUCCUUGAUACUGCUGAAGCUGAAGUUAGGUCACUAAUCUCCUUGUACUCUGAAGUGGGAAGAAACGCAGAUUCUUUGUCUCAAUACUUUGGGGAGGAUCCAUCUCGGUGUCCUUUUGAACAAGUGACACAGGUGUUGUUCAUCUUUGUCAAGAUGUUUACCAAGCGCGAGAGGAAAAUGAAAGACUGGCUGAUAUUGAAAAGAAGAAGCUUGAAAAGGAAGCCAUGAAAGAGCGAACUGUAGCUAAUUCAUCUGCAAAGAAAGAUUCUGUGGAUAGAGCAUGAGAUUGCAUAUAUACGUGUGGUUUUGGAGCUGCUGUGCAUAUCAAGAUCCAUCAUGCAUUCUGCUAUCUAUAUGAAUACAACUAGAUGGAACUUUCACAUGUGCUCUUACCCAUUUCUUCUACGGAUCGAUGCUGUGUAAGUCUGUAUAAUACAACUUUCUUAGUUGUUUUUGAGCUGUAUAUAUGUAA